rnacentral:rRNA from 1 species
UACAGAGGUGCCAAGCGUUGUUCGGAUUUAUUGGGCGUAAAGGGUGCGUAGGCGGUUGUGUAAGUCGGGUGUGAAAUUCCGGAGCCUAACUCCGGAACUGCAUUCGAAACUACACAGCUCGAGGUCUGGAGAGGUGACUGGAAUUCUCGGUGUAGCAGUGAAAUGCGUAGAUAUCGUGAGGAAGACCAGUUGCGAAGGCGGAUCUCUGGGCAGUUCCUGACACUGAGGCACGAAGGCCAGGGGAGCAAACGGG